rnacentral:tRNA from 2 species
GGAGGGUAGGCGAAUUGGCUAGCAAUCUGAUUCGAAAUCAGACGUCCGCUUGCGGAUUGCGGGUUCAAGUCCCGUGCCCUCCG